AGUCACUAGGGGUGCAUUUUGCUGAGACGAUACCCUUUGAACCUGAACAAGAUAAUACUUGCGUAAGGAAAGUGCGUAUAA
rnacentral:ncRNA from 1 species